AUUGAACGCUGGCGGCAGGCCCAACACAUGCAAGUCGAACGGCAGCGGGGGAUAGCUUGCUAUCCUGCCGGCGAGUGGCGGACGGGUGAGUAAUGCACGGGGAGCUGCCCAGUCGAGGGGGAUAACAACUGGAAACGGUUGCUAAUACCGCAUACGCCCUAAGGGGGAAAGGUGGGGAACCUCGGUCCUACCGCGAUUGGAUGCGCCCAUGUGGGAUUAGCUAGUUGGUGAGGUAACGGCUCACCAAGGCGACGAUCUCUAGCUGGUCUGAGAGGAUGACCAGCCACACUGGAACUGAGACACGGUCCAGACUCCUACGGGAGGCAGCAGUGGGGAAUAUUGCACAAUGGGGGAAACCCUGAUGCAGCCAUGCCGCGUGUGUGAAGAAGGCCUUCGGGUUGUAAAGCACUUUCAGUCAGGAGGAAGGUGGUAAGGCUAAUAUCCUUAUCAAUUGACGUUACUGACAGAAGAAGCACCGGCUAACUCCGUGCCAGCCGCCGCAGUAA
rnacentral:rRNA from 1 species